rnacentral:rRNA from 1 species
GACGAACGCUGGCGGCGUGCUUAACACAUGCAAGUCGAACGGAAAGGCCCUGCUUUUGUGGGGUGCUCGAGUGGCGAACGGGUGAGUAACACGUGAGUAACCUGCCCUUGACUUUGGGAUAACUUCAGGAAACUGGGGCUAAUACCGGAUAGGAGCUCCUGCUGCAUGGUGGGGGUUGGAAAGUUUCGGCGGUUGGGGAUGGACUCGCGGCUUAUCAGCUUGUUGGUGGGGUAGUGGCUUACCCAGGCUUUGACGGGUAGCCGGCCUGAGAGGGUGACCGGCCACAUUGGGACUGAGAUACGGCCCAGACUCCUACGGUAGGCAGCAGUGGGGAAUAUUGCACAAUGGGCGGAAGCCUGAUGCAGCAACGCCGCGUGCGGGAAGACGGCCUUCGGGUUGUAAACCGCUUUCGCCUGUGACGAAGCGUGAGUGACGGUAAUGGGUAAAGAAGCACCGGCUAACUACGUG